UGGGGAAUCUUAGACAAUGGGCGCAAGCCUGAUCUAGCCAUGCCGCGUGAGCGAUGAAGGCCUUAGGGUUGUAAAGCUCUUUCGCUGGGGAAGAUAAUGACUGUACCCAGUAAAGAAGCCCCGGCUAACUCCGUGCAGCAGCCGCGGUAAUACGGAGGGGGCUAGCGUUAUUCGGAAUUACUGGGCGUAAAGCGCACGUAGGCGGACUGGAAAGUUGGGGGUGAAAUCCCGGGGCUCAACCUCGGAACUGCCUUCAAAACUCCCAGUCUUGAGUUCGAGAGAGGUGAGUGGAAUUCCGAGUGUAGAGGUGAAAUUCGUAGAUAUUCGGAGGAACACCAGUGGCGAAGGCGGCUCACUGGCUCGAUACUGACGCUGAGGUGCGAAAGCGUGGGGAGCAAACAGG
rnacentral:rRNA from 1 species